CGCUAGGGAUUAAAUGUUAGUCCCUUAUAUAUAGAAAUAUAUAUAUUAUAACAUAAUUGGGUGAAUUGCAUAAAAGUCUUAAUCAUUUUUUAUGAAAAGAUAAUUUGCAGCGAAGUUUAUAUUAGUUCAUUUGUAGAUAUAAAAACGUUCAACGACUAGUAGAUGAGUAAACUAACAAUAAUUCUACCACGAGCGCCCAACAUCUAAGAUUUAUAAUUUCACUCAUAAGGAAGGAAUAAUAUAUAUUAAAAUAUAUUAUAUGAUCCCUAUAUAAUGAGGAUAAUUAUAAAUUAUGAUGAUGACAUAGUCUGAACUAUAUAGAAAUAUAUAG
rnacentral:ncRNA from 1 species